UUCCGGUUGAUCCUGCCGGACCCGACUGCUAUUUGGGUGAGGAUAAGCCAUGCGAGUUGAAUGGGAAACCUAAAGUUCCCAUGGCAAACUGCUCAGUAACACAUGAUCAACUUACCCUAUAGAGAAAAAUAACCUCGGGAAACUGAGGAUAAUACCAGAUAGAACAUUAUGCCUGGAAUGGUUUAUGUUUAAAAUAAUUUAUUGCCGUAGGAUGGGACUGCGGCCUAUCAGUUUGUUGGUGAGGUAAUGGCCCACCAAGACUAUUUACAGGUACGGGCUCUGAGAGGAGUAGCCCGGAGAUGGGUACUGAGACACGGACCCAGGCCCUAUGGGGCGCAGCAGGCGAGAAAACUUUGCAAUGUGCGAAAGCACGACAAGGUUAAUCCGAGUGAUUUCUGCUAAAGGAAUCUUUUGUCAGUCCUAGAAACACUGUUGAAUAAGGGGUGGGCAAGUUCUGGUGUCAGCCGCCGCGGUAAAACCAGCACCUCAAGUGGUCAGGAUGAUUAUUGGGCCUAAAGCAUCCGUAGCCUGCUUUGUCAGUUUUCGGUUAAAUCCAUACGCUCAACGUAUGGGCCGCCGGAAAUACUGUAAAGCUAGGGAGUGGGAGAGGUAGACGGUACUCGGGAGGAAGGGGUAAAAUCCUUUGAUCUCUCGAUGACCACCUGUGGCGAAGGCGGUCUACCAGAACACGUCCGACGGUGAGGGAUGAAAGCUGGGGGAGCAAACCGGAUUAGAUACCCGGGUAGUCCCAGCUGUAAACUAUGCAAACUCAGUGAUGCAUUGGCUUGAUGCCAAUGCAGUGUUGCAGGGAAGCCGUUAAGUUUGCCGCCUGGGAAGUACGUACGCAAGUAUGAAACUUAAAGGAAUUGGCGGGGGAGCACCACAAGGGGUGAAGCCUGCGGUUCAAUUGGACUCAACGCCGGG
rnacentral:rRNA from 1 species